GGAUCGCACAGAAUAUAGGUCGCGCAGGUAUUUCCCGUUAUGCAAACCACAAGAUUUGUCCAUUUUUUGACUGCAAACACACAUUUGUAACAAAGAUAAUCGGUCAUUUUGCCUUUAACAUUAUAAACAACAUUGUACGUCAAUCAUUAUCUUCCUCAUGAAUAUGCAUACCGGAUUUGCUGGUUAACCCGCUGUAGUGGUUAACGAAAAUCACCUACCGACAUUUUAUGGGGAGAGGAAGAGGGACCUCAAGAGAACAGCCACAGAUCUAGAAUAAGGAAAAAAAGCACCAUUACAUGUAGAUCAUGAGUUCAAGAAAGAAAUGAAAAGAAGAGCACUUAGUUAUCCAAAAGAGAAAUACCAGAAUAGCUCCAACACAGCUUGCAAAAAUAUGGAUAGAAAGGCAAGAGGAUCAAGAGGGCUUUAAGAUAAUUUAUAUUAACCCUGUCAAAGGAUAUGGUGUUUUUGCUACAAAAGAAUUCAAGAUGGGUGAUUUUCUGCUAGAGUAUGUUGGUGAAACUAUUGAUGAAGAAGAAGCAGUUGCAAGAGAGAAGAAAUAUGCAAGGCGACAAAAAAACGCAAAAUAUUCCAGAUGUUACACAUUCUAUUACAAACACAAUGGGAGACA